rnacentral:rRNA from 1 species
ACCAUCCUAAGGUAGCGAAAUUCCUUGUCGGGUAAGUUCCGACCUGCACGAAUGGCGUAACGACUUCUCUGCUGUCUCAACCACAGGCCCGGCGAAAUUGCAGUACGAGUAAAGAUGCUCGUUACGCGCGGCAGGACGAAAAGACCCCGGGACCUUCACUAUAGCUUGGUAUUGGUGUUUGGUUCGGUUUGUGUAGGAUAGGUGGGAGACUGUGAAGCGGCCACGCUAGUGGUGGUGGAGUCGUUGGUGAAAUACCACUCUGAUCGUAUUGAGCAUCUCAACCUCGGCCCAUGAUCUGGGUUAGGGACAGUGCCUGGUGGGUAGUUUAACUGGGGCGGUUGCCUCCUAAAUGGUAACGGAGGCGCCCAAAGGUUCCCUCAGCCUGGUUGGCAAUCAGGUGGUGAGUGUAAGUGCAUAAGGGAGCUUGACUGUGAGACUGACGGGUCGAGCAGGAACGAAAGUUGGGACUAGUGAUCCGGCACUGGCUUGUGGAAGCGGUGUCGCUCAACGGAUAAAAGGUACCCCGGGGAUAACAGGCUGAUCUUCCCCAAGAGUCCAUAUCGACGGGAUGGUUUGGCACCUCGAUGUCGGCUCGUCGCAUCCUGGGGCUGGAGUAGGUCCCAAGGGUUGGGCUGUUCGCCCAUUAAAGCGGCACGCGAGCUGGGUUUAGAACGUCGUGAGACAGUUCGGUCUCUAUCCGCCGCGCGCGUGGAAACUUGAGAAAGGCUGUCCCUAGUACGAGAGGACCGGGACGGACGUACCUCUGGUGUGCCAGUUGUCCCGCCUGGGGCAGGGCUGGUUGGCUACGUACGGGAGGGAUAACCGCUGAAAGCAUCUAAGCGGGAAGCCUGUUUCAUGAUGAGGUUUCUUUUGAGGUUCCCCAGAGAUGAUGGGGUUGAUAGGCCGGAUCUGUAAGCAUUGUGAGGUGUUGAGGUGACCGGUACUAAUUGACCGAAUGAAACAACAA